rnacentral:rRNA from 1 species
UACAGAGGGGGCAAGCGUUGUUCGGAAUUACUGGGCGUAAAGGGCGCGUAGGCGGCCUGUUAAGUCGAACGUGAAAUCCCCGGGCUCAACCCGGGAACUGCGUCCGAUACUGGCAGGCUUGAAUCCGGGAGAGGGAUGCGGAAUUCCAGGUGUAGCGGUGAAAUGCGCAGGAUAUCAGGAAGAACACCAAUGGCGAAGGCAGCUCUCGUGGGACGGUACUGACGCUGAGACGCGAAAGCGUGGGGAGCGAACAGGG